GACGGAGGGGGCUAGCGUUGUUCGGAAUUAUGGGCGUAAAGCGCGCGUAGGCGGCGCAUUAAGUCAGAGGUGAAAGCCCGGGGCUCAACCCCGGAAUUGCCUUUGAGACUGGUGUGCUUGAGUACGGAAGAGGUGAGUGGAAUUCCCAGUGAUAGAGGUGAAAUUCGGUAAGAUAUUGGGAAGAACACCAAGUGGCGAAAGGCGGCUCACUGGUCCGUAAACUGACGCCUGAGGUGACGAAAAGCGUGGGGGAGCAAACAGGAUUAGAUACCCCUGUAAGUCC
rnacentral:rRNA from 1 species